GAUGAAGAACGUAGCGAAAUGCGAUAAGUAAUGUGAAUUGCAGAGUUCAGUGAAUCAUCGAAUCUUUGAACGCACAUUGCGCCCGCCAGUAUUCUGGCGGGCAUGCCUGUUCGAGCGUCAUUUCAACCCUCAAGCACAGCUUGGUGUUGGGACUCGCGUUAAUUCGCGUUCCCCAAAUUGAUUGGCGGUCACGUCGAGCUUCCAUAGCGUAGUAGUAAAACCCUCGUUACUGGUAAUCGUCGCGGCCACGCCGUUAAACCCCAACUUCUGAAUGUUGACCUCGGAUCAGGUAGGAAUACCCGCUGAACUUAAGCAUAUCAAUAAGCGGAGGA
rnacentral:misc_RNA from 1 species